CCACAUGGAGUGUAGGGUUGGACGGAGAUGGUGUGUAGAGGUUGGUUGGGUAGGACCUUGUUACUGAAAACUACAUGACUGAUAUUGAUACUUAGAUGGGCUAAGGCCCAACUCCUACUGAUACUAAAAAGGGCUUAGGCCUAGGACUGUUUUUCACUGUGCUCUGCGUUACUGUUGCUUGAUUUCUGUGGGAUUACACACUGAGUUUACGUAAACACCCUCUUUAUUUAAUGUACA
rnacentral:lncRNA from 1 species